GGAAAGGUAGCUCAGUGGUAGGGUGCUUGCCUCACAUGCAUGAGACCCUGGGUUCGAUUUCUCGGCACCA
rfam:Dipodomys ordii contig_20368, whole genome shotgun sequence.